rnacentral:rRNA from 1 species
UACGUAGGGUGCAAGCGUUGUCCGGAAUUAUUGGGCGUAAAGAGCUCGUAGGCGGUCCGUCACGUCGGCUGUGAAAACCCGGGGCUCAACCCCGGGCCUGCAGUCGAUACGGGCGGACUAGAGUUCGGCAGGGGAGACUGGAAUUCCUGGUGUAGCGGUGAAAUGCGCAGAUAUCAGGAGGAACACCAGUGGCGAAGGCGGCUCACUGGCCCGGUACUGACGCUGAGGUGCGAAAGCGUGGGGAGCAAACAGG